AACGAACGCUGGCGGCGUGCCUAACACAUGCAAGUCGAACGAGAAAGGGGCUUCGGCUCCGAGUAAAGUGGCGCACGGGUGAGUAACACGUAGGUAACCUACCUCUAAGAUUGGGAUAACCUGUCGAAAGACGAGCUAAUACCGAAUAAGACCACAGCUUCCUUGGAAGCAGGGGUCAAAGGUAGCCUUUACUUGUAAGCUAUCACUUAGAGAUGGACCUGCGUACCAUUAGCUAGUUGGNGAGGUAACGGCUCACCAAGGCAAAGAUGGUUAGCUGGUCUGAGAGGAUGAUCAGCCACACUGGAACUGAGACACGGUCCAGACUCCUACGGGAGGCAGCAGUGGGGAAUAUUGCGCAAUGGGCGAAAGCCUGACGCAGCAACGCCGCGUGAGUGAUGAAGGCCCUCGGGUCGCAAAGCUCUGUCGGAGGGAACGAAUGCUCUCGAGG
rnacentral:rRNA from 1 species